AAGUCGUAACAAGGUUUCCGUAGGUGAACCUGCGGAAGGAUCAUUAAAAAGUUUAAUUACACACACCGUGCAUCAAACAACGAGUCUUUCAGAUAAAAGUAUAAUAUGAAAAACAACUUUUAGCAACGGAUCUCUAGGUUCUC
rnacentral:misc_RNA from 1 species